CAGAGUAGUCUGACGGAGCACGCCGCGUGAGUGAUGAAGGUUUUCGGAUCGUAAAGCUCUGUUGUUAGGGAAGAACAAGUACCGUUCGAAUAGGGAGGCACCUUGACGGUACCUAACCACAAAGCCACGGCUAACUACGUGCCAACAGCCGCGGUAAUACGUAGGUGGCAAGCGUUGUCCGGAAUUAUUGGGCGUAAAGGGCUCGCAUGCGGUUUCUUAAGUCUGAUGUGAAAGCCCCCGGCUCAACCGGGGAGGGUCAUUGAAAACUGGGGAACUUGAGUGCAAAAGAGGAAAGUGGAAUUCCACGUGUAGCGGUGAAAUGCGUAAAGAUGUGGAGGAACACCAGUGGCGAAGGCGACUCUCUGGUCUGUAACUGACGCUGAGGAGCGAAAGCGUGGGGAGCGAACAGGAUUACAUACCCUGGUAGUCCACGCCGUAAACGAUGAGUGCUAAGUGUUAGGGGGUUUCCGCCCCUUAGUGCUGCAGCGGACGCAUUAAGCACUCCGCCGGGGGGAGAG
rnacentral:rRNA from 1 species